UACGUAGGUGGCAAGCGUUGUCCGGAUUUAUUGGGUUUAAAGGGUGCGUAGGCGGUCAGCACAAGUCAGUUGUGAAAUCUCCGGGCUUAACCCGGAAAGGUCAACUGAUACUGUGCGACUAGAGUGCGGAAGGGGCAACUGGAAUUCUCGGUGUAGCGGUGAAAUGCGUAGAUAUCGAGAGGAACACCUGCGGCGAAGGCGGGUUGCUGGGCCGACACUGACGCUGAUGCGCGAAAGCCAGGGGAGCGAACGGG
rnacentral:rRNA from 1 species